UAGGCGUGAGCCACCGCGCCCGGCCGAUAAUGAUUUUUACUGCAUCAAUUGAUGAUUGUUGAAUAAAGAGCAGGGGGGGGAGGAAAGAAUGGGAUGAGGGUAGAGAAAGGCAAGAUCAGGGAGAAUUCCAGCUCCUCGAGCCCAGACCUGUCAUCUUAUCAGAACAAUCCCAAUCCCCUGACAGUGGUCUGGAGACCAGUGACCCUUCGGCAAGAGCAUUUUAGCUGAGGAAUUUUUGCCUUUCUUAAAGAUAAGAUUAAAUUAAUGUGACUCCAAGUCUUACCACAAGGACAUUGCCCUUUGCUGGGAAGCCGAGCAGUCCCCAAGUACCUCACCUAUGAUGUUCUUGGUGCCUCAUUACACACGGUAGCAAAAAUGCCAAAAGCCCCUAAGAGGACCACUGUGAUCCUCUGAAGAUGGGGAUUCCUAAUCCCGCAAACCCAGUUCUUCAGAACCCCGUUUGUUCUGGAGAAAUAAGAACUGGUCAUACCUAGUCUUUGUUUCCCUCUCUUUUGAUCAUUUUUUGGAUGAGUCAAAAUCAGGUCACCACCAGCACCAGGAUGUGACAUGAAGGGACACGCCUCAGCCCCAUAGGGUACAUUCCUGCCCUCUUCCCAGACUCAGGUCUUCCCUGCCUCUGAAUCUUGCUCUCUCUUUUCCUUGUUCUCACUUUUCUUUCUUUUAUUUUCUGCCCUUCCUUUCUUUUCUUUGAUUCCUCUUUCUUUUUUACCUGGGGAAAAAGUCUUCAGACUUCUGGAGUGGAUUCAUGAGUGUGAAUGGGGUGUAGCCCGCCAACAUCAUUUUUUCCCAAGGCAUAGAGGCUGUUUCUGGGGCUGGGCACAGCUGAGAGGACCGUCUCGUUGUACUGGGGGAUUGAUGGCUGAUGGAGGGAAGGAACAUCAGGCAGAGUUUGUCCUGCUUCCCUCAGGCUCCCUAUGUCAUGUUGAUGGGGUUGCAGCCCUGGCCUGCAGGAGUAGGUCCGGCCUGAUGGAGGCUGGGACAUCUGGAAGCCAGUGGCCUCUCAGCCAGCCCCUGGCUCUCACACACACUCUCCGGGAAGAGCCCCAGGUCUCUUCUUCACCCUUCUUCACUCCCCCUCACCCUCCUGGUGGGGGUUCUCUGACCCCAGCCACACAGAUGGGCAGGGAGGCGUCUCCAAAGGCCAGACGCUUAGCUGAGAAAUCAUUUCUCAGUUCCUGUGUGGCCCCUUGCUCUUAACCUUUUUCUCCUUUGUUCUUAGUCCUGUUUUUGCCCUGAUUUUUCAGAUGGGCGCCCUGGACUGAGGCAAACUUUAAUAUUGCCCCUGGGAUCAGACACACGCUGGCCCCCUCUCUGGCUAUGCUGGCCUCCCUGUUUGGGGCAGCAGGUAAGGAAGAGCUGGCUCAGUCCAGGCCAGAUGAGAAGGAAAUAAAAGUUUUCCUUGUCCCCCUUCCUCCAAGCCUCUUCCUUCUUCCCUUUCCCCUUGCCGUGGGAAGUUCUCUUCCUCCACUCCUUCCAUCCCUCGCCGUCUGUGGACCUGAUGCUGAUUGUCCUGUUCACUAUCAAAAUGAUCUGGGAGAAGAAAGUCAUUUAUACUUUAGUAUGAGUUUGAUCCAUAGUUUGUCUUUCCUUGGGCUAUUUGCUCUGUGAGUCUCACUGGCAGAUGAAAAGUUGAGGGAUGCAUUACAGACACUCGGGGCCAUCACAGAAUGGGGGUGGGGGAUGGGGAGGCACUGACAGUAGAAGGACCCUCCAGAGCUCAAGCAGUCACACACACAAGCUGCCACCCCCAGUCCUCAAUUGGUUUCCAUGCCGUUCAUAGUCUGGGACAAAGGACUUAAAAAAUAUGUGGUUGAGAGUGGCUCUGAGCCCAGCCAGGUACAGGGAGCAGGGGGACCUGAGGCUGCUUGGCUGGGCAAGGCAAGAAUGCAGGGAGCUUUUUAAGAUGGCUGACUCUGUAGCUCUGAUUUUUUUUUCUUAUGAAGGAGCAAUCCUGUUUGGCUCCAAGCCUAGGGAUGGGGCUGGCUCUGUGGAGCAGGUUGCCUUUGAGCCAGGUGGGGCUGCCCCAGGAGUCAUCGGCUGCCUCUGGAGGUGGCGAGGUUUCCAUCACAGCGGUUGGGGUCUCCUGGAUUCAGCCAUCAUUAGAGGAGGCUUUGUAUAUUGCCGGGGUUGUGCCAGAUACCUGGGGGCCUUGACUAAAAUGUGUUUCCUGGGCACUUCCCCCAGCUCGCUGAAUCCAGGAGCAGCCCCGGGAUCAUUGUGACCUCACAGUUCAGACAGCAUCGGUCCCCUGUGGGGGCCACCUUUCCAGCCUCUCCUCCCAGCAGAGGAUCCCAGUGCCCUCCUGGCCUGAAGGCCCUGCAGGCCUGGCCCUCCCAACUUCCUCUCUGCCCUUGUCCCCUGUCGUCCCUCUAGUUGGCCUGGCCCUCCCAACUUCCUCUCUGCCCUUGUCCCCCGUCGUCCCCCUAGUUGGCCUGGCCCUCCCAACCUCCUCUCUGCCCUUGUCCCCCGUCGUCCCCCUAGUUGGAGGGUGCCCCAGCCUGGCUGACCUCAGUUCUUGUCCCCAGCACACACAACUCUUCCCAGCCUCAAGGCCUUCACCUGGCUGUGCCGCUGCCUGCAAUGUUCCUCCCCAGUCUUGUCAGGGCUGGCUCCUGGGGAGAAGAUCUCUGCUCAGAUGUCACUUCCCCGGAAGGGCCUUCCACGGCCACCCACGUCGUGUCUCCCCACGCCUGCCCCCACACUCGCUAGCCCGCCAUCCCCUCUUCCUGCUUCCGUCCUCCACAGCAGUCAUCACCAUCUGAUAUUCCUGUGUAUGCAUCGGUUUGCCUUUCUGGCUCCUGGUUUUGCUCUGCCUCCCCGCUGGAAGUUACCAGUGACCGUUUAGGAUUCAGCUGAGAAGCCACUCCCUGUGCAAAGUCUUCCGGAAUUGACCAUGACCUUUCCUCUCCUGGUCCUUCAGCAUUUUUCUGUGGCUGUCAGAUUUCUGACUUCCUGGCGGACUAUCAGCCUCACACCUGCGGGUCUGUGCCCUGGGCUCACAGCUUAACACGUAGGAGGACCUUAAUAAAUACGCUGAUUGCCCCUGUGGAGGGGACACGCUCCUGCCAGAAAAACCCAGCCCACCUCCUCCCUGGACAGGAGCCCUCGUAUUGGAGAAGCUACUUGGAAGGCUGAGACAGGAGAAUUUCUUGAAUCCAGAAGGCAGAGGUUGCAGUGAGCCAAGAUCAUGCCAAUGCGCUCCAGCCUGGGCGACAGAGUGAAACUCCAAGUGAAUAAAUGAAUCGUGAGUGCAUGGUGAGUGGGUAAGUAAGUGGGGAAUGGGGUGAGCCAAUGGGCGAGUGAGCAGGUGGAUGAGUGGACAAACACUUGAGCGAAUGAAUGAGUAUGUAGCUGAAUGAACCCCUCACUCUACCAGAAAAGCCAGGGGAAGGGGCCUGAGCAUCUCCUUCAGGGGUACCUGCCAAGGCGGAGUCCUGGAACCCCUGCCCAGAACUGCUCGUGGAGGGCAUCUGCGUUAGUCCCCUGCUCCCCAGCACUGCCGGCCCCUGCCUCAGAUCUCUUACCCAACCGCAUCGCUUCCACUCGGCCCAUGUACUGGGAGUACUACAUGGUAGGAUCCCUGGGAGGGUGCCCCUGGGUGUCCUCCUGGAUCUCUUUCUGGUGUGAAAUAGGGAGCUCUCUUGGCUUCUUCAGUUGAACACCUGUGUGACCAGCUCUGUCAUCAGAUAUGUUUUGUAAUUAAAGGCUACUCUGUCCUAAUAUUUCAGGAAUGUGCUGUGAUUGGCCUUUAGGCAAAGGUGGGUUUCUCUACAUGUGUGCUGUACAGAGAAAAAGCUGUUCAACUAUUUUUCCUUAAAUAGUAAAAGGGUCCAAUAUGAGCCCACAGGUUACAAAGUGUGUCAGUGCCUUAAAUAAUAUCACCCUUUCCCUACCUAUCAACCUAUUUCAUGUCACUGCAGAAAUCUUAGAAAACAGAGGAAAUGACAAAGCAGAAAAUAAAAGCCAUCCAAUAUAAUUUUCCUUAAAUAAUAGGAAAAGGCUCUGUAGCUAAGCAGUCCAGCCUGGUCGCUCCUUCCCACAUGUGACUUUGAGCCCUAGAAAUGUGGCUUUUCUGAAAUAAGAUAUGCCGUAAAGUAAAAUUCACAUACCAGAUUUCAAAUAUGUAGUUGGAAAAAAGAGAAUGGCCAAGGUCUGAUUAAUAACUUUUUUUUUUUUAAUUUUUUUUGAGACAGGGUCUCGCUCUGUCACCCAGGCUGAAGUGCAUUGGUGCAAUCAUAGCUUGCUGCAGCCUCAAACUUCUGGGCUUAAGCAAUCCUCCCACCUGAAUUUCCCAAGUAGCUGGGAUUAUAGGCACGCACCACCAUGCCUGGCUAAUUUUUUUUUUCUUUUUUAGAAAUGGGAUCUGACUGUGUUGUCCAGGCUGGUCUCUGACUCCUAGCCUCAAGUAAUCCUCCACUUCAGCCUCCCAAAGUGCUGGGAUUACAAGUGUGAGCCACCAUGCCUGGCCAGGAACUUUUAUACUGAGGACAUGUUGAGAUGAUAUUCUUUAUAUAACAGGUCACAUAACAUAGAUUAUUGAUUUCCCCUGAUUAUUUUUACUCUUGUUAGCGUGGAUAGUAGAAUAUCUCAAUGACACACACUCCGCAGGGCCCAGUAACGCACACCUUUAUUGUACAGAAACGUUGCAUCAGGAGGACGAGGUCUUCGGCGCCAAACCCAGAGGGCCUUGAAGGUUCUGAUUCCCCAGCGCAGGGUUGGGAUGAUUCCUCCCCUGCUGGUGAUGCUCCUGGCUCAUGUUCCCAUUCAUUUC